ACUUGCUACCACUAGAUACAGUGAAGAAUGCAGUCAUUGCAAUCACUGCUGACUGGUACAGUCUGGCAAUACAGCUGGAUAUUGGCUACAAAACUAGAAAGGUCAUUGAGCGUGACCACCCAUCGGCAGAAGCUGGGUUCCAUGCCAUGUUGCAGCACUGGGUGAGGAGACCCUCCCCUCCCCCCUCCUGGUCGGCCCUCAUUAGAGCACUAAAGUGCCUCGUCAUCAAUCGAGCAGACAUUGCAGCAGACAUGGAAACACAUCAGGAUGUGUUGGGAGUAUCUAUAUAGAGAUGGUGAAUCAUCCAUUCCCUCUCAGGAUCAGCAAAACUUAUUAAUUUUGUCCAAAAAGAGCCACUCAGUGUGGACCAGCACUUGAAGGUGGUGAGAGAAACCACCUGGGAAGCAAGAGCCAAAUGGAAGUGUCUGGGAGAACAGUUGGGAGUUAUUAGAGGAGAUUCAGCACAACCGUCAUCAUGUAGCUGGAGCUUGUGUAACUGGCAUGCUGGAGCACUGGUUGACCCAGACCGACCCUCCCCUCUCCUGGUCCGCUCUCAUUGAGGCUCUCAGAUCCCCUGCUCUUGGUCGGGGGGACAUUGAGACUAUUAAAGGAUCACUGCCACACCAUAGACAAGUGGACACAUGAAUUGUCAUGACUCAUGAUUAUAUGCGCUGCAAUUUAUUUUUUCUACGGUAUAAUUAUA